GUGGGGAAUCUUCCGCAAUGGGCGCAAGCCUGACGGAGCAACGCCGCGUGAAUGAAGAAGGCCUUCGGGUCGUAAAGUUCUGUCUUUAGAGAAGAAGUCUCUCUAUGUGAAUAAUGUAGAGAGGUGACGGUACCUAAGGGGGAAGCUCCGGCUAACUACGUGCCAGCAGCCGCGGUAAUACGUAGGGAGCAAGCGUUGUCCGGAAUUACUGGGCGUAAAGGGCGAGUAGGCGGAUAAUUAAGUCAGGUGUGAAAACUCUGGGCUCAACCUGGAGAUUGCACUUGAAACUGGUUAUCUUGAGGGCAGGAGAGGAAAGUGGAAUUCCUAGUGUAGCGGUGAAAUGCGUAGAUAUUAGGAGGAACACCAGUGGCGAAGGCGACUUUCUGGACUGCACCUGACGCUGAGGCGCGAAAGCGUGGGGAGCGAACGGGAUUAGAUACCCUGGUAGUCC
rnacentral:rRNA from 1 species